GCCUUCGUGGUGUAACGGUGAGCACACUCGGCGCGUAUUCCAGAGGAUCGAGGUUCGAGUUCCGGCGAGGGCA
rnacentral:tRNA from 1 species